UUUUGUGUGCCGGUGUUAUUAGACGAAAGAAGGCAUCGAUUAAAAGCAAUCGAAACAGCAAAUGUAUUAAGAGAACAAAAUGAAAAGCUGAAAAGAAAAAAGGAAGAAGUACAUCACGACGAAGAGGCAGAUAAAUCUGAAGUAGCAGCUAAAGAGGGAAAAGGAAGUAAAAGGAUUUCCGAAAAUUAUCAAUACGCAUAGCCGGAUACAUGUCAAAAAAGCAGCCAUUGAAGAAGCCUACACUCAGAAAGAGCCCAGUAAAUUUUAUAUCAACAUGAUGUACGCAGCAUGGGGGCGCCAUUCGCUCUCAGUACGCAAAAAUAAUUAUCAAAGAGUAAACAAAUUAAUAAUGAAAGAGCCAGAGCUAUUUUGAAGUGCCCCAAUUUGUUGAUAUUGGAGAAAAUGAUGUCGUUAAAGCUGGUACUUCUUCAGCAGUAAAAGAAGCAGUAGUAUGUUUGCAAAAAGUGGAAUACGCAUGUAAUCAGAAGUCAACAGUUCAAUCAUCACCCUUAAAAUCACCAUCACUACUUGCUUCUCGUAAACGAAAACUCGUACAAUCAUCAGAAUCCAAUACUCCAAAGUCAUCCAGGAAAUUUCGAUUUAGAUCCAGAGUAUCUCGACCAAAGUAAGUUUUAUCACAAUCAUCAUCAGAAUCAGAUGCAAAACAACAGAAGUCAUACCGUACAAACGUGUUACAUAAUCAAGUUCAAUCAGCUGUUCUGUCACCAUCUCCAAGCAAAUCACCUACACGAACACGAUCAUCAUCUCCAAACUCAUCACCCACAUCAGGAAACAAAUCACCUCUGCAUCAGUCAUCUGAAGGUGCAACAUCACCUCUGCAUCAGUCACUUGAACGCAUACCAUCACCUUUACAUCAGUCACCUGAACGCACACCAUUUAUGCGUCAGUCACUUCAACACAGCCCGCGAUAUCAGCACCAGACUACUCAAGCCCAAAAUGUAGCAAAUCAACAACAGCACUUAUUUGAAAAUGAAGAACAGCCCUUAUUUGAAAAUGAGGAAGAGGCUCCACUUGAAAAUGACGAACAGCCUCUACUUGAAAAUGACGAACAGCCUCCAAACGAACCACAUGAACAGCAUCCACAACUUCAAAACGGAUCAAGGCCAAGACGUAUAAAAUAUUACAAGAUGACAGAAUAUGUUUAAUACUGCGUGGAUUAUUAUGAUAAAAAAGAAGAACGUGGUUACAAAGAAGGACGCAAUCGAUAUGAUAUACGUUAUGGAAAUGAGGUGUACCUAGGAGAAGGUGUACUUGUAAAUUUACUGGGGAUCCUGUGUAAUCGUGCUUUAGACUUAACCAGGGGGAUCAAAAAUAUACCUAACAGGUCGCCAGUGAAAUUGAUUGAGAAAGAUCUAUUUCGACUACUAAUAAGUCUGUAUAAUGAUUUCCUCAGGAGACAAAACUAUCCUACCGAAGAAAAAGUUUCAUAUCUGUUAAAAGCCACAUACGUAUUAAGACAUAAAAUAAGAGAUUUACUUACCGCAGAGAAGAACAAAUUUGAGAAACAAGUUGUCAACGCUCAAAGACUUUUGAGAUAUAACGUCAAAGAUUAAUUAAUUCAGAUCGCCCUUAAUAUUUCUUUAUUUAUUUAGUUUUUA